ensembl:lncRNA
AGAGAAGCACCUUCCUCUGGCUCCUCUGUCCCCGAGGCCACCUGGAUCCACACCCUCCUUCUCUCCUUCCAUGUCCCCAGCUCAGGCUGCAAGUCUCUCUUUGAGACCACAGCCUCAUCUUGUCAUCAAGGCAGAUUUCCCCCCCAGGAAGCCUUGUAACAACGGAUGGGCACGCCUAGAUCCAUAGACAUUACUGAACAUGGAAGAGCGGGUGGUGAGCUUGGAAAAGGGUUUCAUUCACCCCGAAAAUUAUAUAAUUUUGUUUGAGGUGCUCUCAUCCAAAGGAAAUCAAGAGAGCGGGUGGAGACGGAAGAGAGGAAUCCAAAGGAUAUUCACCUAUCAUACCUCAGACAUGGAGCACACUGAAAGAGGACUUUUCGGCCAGAUACCAAGGAAACACACCUGGGAAAGCCAAGGGGAGAUGGGCAGAUGGAUGAACAAAAGUCGCUCACCGUCACCUUGAGAAAGGCACCCCCGGCAUAUAGUGGGAGGACCAUUCCAUCCGCAGCAAAGAAAUUGAAGGCUUGUGACAACCCUGCAUGAAGCAAGUCUACCAGGACCAUUCUUCCAACAGCGUGUACUGACUUCAUGUCUCUCUUGUCCCAUUUUGGGAAUCCUUGCAGAAUCUCAAGCUUUUUUUUUUUUCUCAAGCUUUUUAAUUAUUGUAUUUGUUCUGGUGAUCUGUGAUCAGUGACCUUUG